UACGUAGGGUGCAAGCGUUGUCCGGAAUUAUUGGGCGUAAAGAGCUCGUAGGCGGUCUGUCGCGUCUGCUGUGAAAACCUAGGGCUUAACUCUGGGCGUGCAGUGGGUACGGGCAGACUAGAGUGCGGUAGGGGAGACUGGAAUUCCUGGUGUAGCGGUGAAAUGCGCAGAUAUCAGGAGGAACACCGGUGGCGAAGGCGGGUCUCUGGGCCGUAACUGACGCUGGAGGAGCGAAAGCAUGGGGAGCGAAACAGG
rnacentral:rRNA from 1 species